rnacentral:rRNA from 1 species
GACAGAGGUGUCGAGCGUUAGGCGGAAUCACUGGGCUUAAAGCGUGUGUAGGCGGGUCCGUAAGUACCUUGUGAAAUCCCAUGGCUCAACCAUGGAACUGCUUGGUAUACUGCGGAUCUUGAGCCACCUAGGGGCAAGUGGAACAAACGGUGGAGCGGUGAAAUGCGUAGAUAUCGUUUGGAACGCCAAUGGUGAAAACAACUUGCUGGGGGUGUGCUGACGCUGAGACACGAAAGCCAGGGGAGCAAACGGG